rnacentral:misc_RNA from 1 species
AUCGUACAAAAAUAAAUAGUUUAUUGUUAAAUUGAAGCACAGUAAAUCACAAACAUGACUCCUAGGGUUGAUAGCGUUAAAAGUUAAAAUAAAAACAAGCAGCGUCAAAUUAAAAAAACAAUCUAUUUAUUUUUCCUUGAUCCUCAAAAGUUUUACGAUUUAUCUAACAUAUGUUGUAUUUUUUAUUAUUUUUUUUUUUUACAAAGAGCCGUUUGAAAUUUUCUGCAUAGGCUACACAUCAAAUGUUUCUCUUGAGAAGUAACACCAUGUUAUCCAGUUAGUAUAAACACAAGUUACACACGAUGAACGUACACUUUGCCAUCACUCGCUUCGUUUGACAUAUACAAGAUACAUAUGCAGAUCUAUUCCUUAUGAAAAUGAGCCGAUUACAAAGUCCAGUCAAUUCGCCUUAUAGGGACAACGUAGGUUCAAUACCGCACAACUCCAACUUACCGAACCUUGUUAUUAAAAAGUUUGACCCGAGGCUUGGCAUAAAUUUAAAACUUCACGAUACCCUGGCGUACGAAAUGGGAAAACGUGAAAGCAGCCCCCAACUUGUCACGAGAAGAGGACAAGUCGUCUACUUGUAUCUAUACUUGGAUCGGGAGUACUCACCCUCAUUAGAUAUCAUGUCGGCGAUUUUUACAUACAAAGAUUGUGAAGACGCAUCUGUCGGACAUUACACACUUUCGGUUAUCCCUUUGAGCUUUAAGAGUUCUGGCUUGAUCGGUAAAUGGGCAGCAUGGAUAGCCGGUUUCAAAGGAACUCGCAUUGAUUUGAGGUUUGUCUCUUCUUUUGAUUGUACCAUUGGCAGAUGGGGCAUCGAGAUAGAUACCAAAGUGAAAGAAAACAACGAAAGGUCAACAUACGCUUUGGACACACUGAUGUAUGUUAUAUUCAACCCUUACGCUCCAGAUGAUGAAGUGAAAAUAGACGACACUCACAUAACAGAAUACGUUACAAAUGAACACGGUCUGAUAUACAGAGGAAACAUGAAACCAAACAACCCCACGUACUGGGUUUAUGGACAAUUCGCCAAAGAUGUUUUGGACUGUGCACUUUAUCUUAUAACAGAUGUUGCCAAGUUGCCUGUGUCUAAAAGGUCUAACGCAGUGGAAAUUACAAGAGCUCUAACAUCGACGAUCAAUGCGAACAAUUGCGACGGAGGAGUUAUGCUUUCGAGUACAACGGGUAAUUUCGAUAAAACGGAAUCUCCGCUGUUAUGGUGUGCCAGCGCUCCGAUACUUCAAGCCUACUAUUCAACGAAAGAACCUCUUAGGUUUGCUAAUUGUCUUGUCCUGGCGGGUGUGCUCACUACUGUUUGCCGAGCACUUGGAAUUGCAGCACGACCUGUAACAUGUUUCAAUUUUGUCCAUGGUAAUGACCUAGGUCUUGUGGUUAACCUUACAUACGACGAGGACCACCGUAAGAGCUUUAAAGGUCACAGUUCGCCCAUUUGGAAUUAUCACGUCUGGACCGAGGUCUGGAUGAAACGUACCGACAUCGGUGAUGAAUAUGACGGUUGGCAAAUUUUAGACCCAACACUCCACGUUCCCGGCACCAGCGUUUUCUCAUACGGCCCGACGUCCGUCAAAGGGAUCCGAAAGGGAAAAUACAAAGCGCCGUACAACGGUACGUUCACAUACUUCGGCAUCAAUUCACAAAUAUUCGUAUGGAAAAAAUCAGGAGGUGAUGAACAUUUGAAGCUCAUCGCGGUUGAUCGAACGACAGUAGGUAGCUACAUAAGCACGAAGGCCGAAGGUUCCUGGCAGAGGGCUGACAUAACCCAAGAGUACAAAGAUCCUAAAGGAAAAGUACCAUGCGAGGAGUGCUACUCGGCGUUGUUGGAUAAAUCAACAGAUUUUUCAAGGUUUUCCCUCGCUGAAGAAUUUAACGAGGUUGGAUUCACACUCACAGCAACCACUGAUGUACCAUUCGGUCAACCUUUUAGCGGCCGGUUGGACCUCGUCAAUAUAAACUCAAGUAAAUCUUUCACUAUUUCCGUAACGCUCACUGUACGGCCCAUUCUAUAUUCAGGAAGAGAAGCGCCUGUUAUUAAAAGUGAAAUAUUUGACGUGAAGCUCGCGAAAAACGAAGGUGUCGAUUUAAUAUUUCAUCAGCGGCAUUUUGCAAGACGAUCGUACCGUAUGAGGAAUACGCGGAGACGGUACUGUCAGAAUUUCUAUUCAAGUGCACUUGCCAGGCGAACGUGAAAGAAACGGAUUUCGACUAUUAUUCCGAGGCCGUUAUUAAGCUGCAAUUACCUAAAAUCACUAUCGAGGUGAAUUCUUCCUUUUAUGUCGACAAGGCGACAACAUGUAUGGCAUCGUUUGUCAACCCACUUCCAAUAGCAAUCACUAAUGGUCUGAUAUUCCUCCAAGGGCCACUAUUCAAAAAGAUCAAGGCGGUCACAGUGGAAGACUGUGCCCCCAAAAAGAAGAUAAUGGUGUUUUUCACCGUCACGCCAGUUAAAGAAGGAGAGUUCAUGCUUCUCGCUAAGUUCAUGUCUGACCAACUCAGUGAGAUUGAGGGAUCUAUAUUAAUAAAAGUUUCAAAACAAGGGUAGGA